CUAUGUACCGGGGGGCUUUGGGGAGAAAAAGGAAAAAAAUAAAAAUCUUUAAAAAAAAAAAAACCUAUCUUAAUUAGAUCAUUGAAUGAAGCUCAUUCUCUGGAUAUGGAUAGUAAAACAACAGGAAAAUAUGAUCCUUGCUUAAACGAAAAAGAAAAUACUCUAAAAUGCCUGCACAACCAGAAGGACCCACAACUAGACCAUACAACUGUGUACUGGGGGGCUUUGGGGAGAAGAAGAAGAAAAAAAAAAGGAUUGGCAACAGAUGUUAGCUCAGGUGCCAAUCUUUAAAAAAAAUGCCAGAAAUGUUUAUCAGUGUCCUGAUGAAAUAUGUUUAUGAAAUAUAAUGACAAUUCACGUUUAAAGGCAUCUCUUCAACUGGAUGUUAACAAAGCUCCAUGCAGAGAGGCCCUGGGUACAGUAAGUGCCGUGCAGUUGGUCAGCUCAGCAUUCUACUCCUGGUGAGGCCACUCACCAGCCAUGUGAGCUUGGACAAGUUUUUAUGUUGGACACUUGGAGGCCAGCAGAUGUAGUUCUGCUAUUCAAAAGGGGAAGACUGGUCCUGAAAAUAAUAAACCAGUGAGCUGGACAAGGAUGCUAUAAGGUUCUACAAUGGGUCACUGAAGGAUGAGGGUAUGAAAUGCCGAAAAUUAAGUGGUGAUCAUAGGUACUAGCCUAAGUUCACUUAGAAAAAAUAAUCUUGUUUCCUUUCCAGAAAGUGUUACCUCACUGAGAGAGUGAGCAAAUAUGAUAGAAUUUCAUUUACUCAAUCAUUUAUUCAUUCAUUCUUUCAAAGAACAUUUCUGAGAUCUACUAUGGGCCAGGCAGUGAGCCAGAUGAUGGGAACAUGCAGAGGAGGCUAAGAGCACAAGCCUUUCCCCAAAGAACAUUCAAUUCCAGGGAAAUGUAACAACAUGCUGCGAAUACAGCACAAUGGAUGCUAUAGAAGAGGUACAUAUUGGGUAAAGAGGCUCAUAAAGGAGGGGUGGUCUGUUCUAUGAUGUAAGGGGGAGAGCUCAGUGGACGUGGAGGAUAAGCAGAGCUUUGACAGGGAAUGAGUGUUGGGUGACACUCAGUCCUGGAAUCUCCUGGAGGGCAGUUUGGAAAGGUCUUGGCAGCUCUGGCUGGAGUUCUGCCAGCCACAGGUUAGCAGAAGGAUACUGGAGACAUCCUGGAGAAGCCUCACCUAGAGAAGAGAUAAAGAAGCAUGCAGACAGGAUGAGGAUGGGGGAGACCAUCAACCCAUUCUUGCUACCUCCGUGACCUGGAGCCAAGCUGGUUCCAGCCACGGGACGGUCCUAAUCCUGGAGACCUACAGGGAAGUCUGCUGGCGGAACUUCUGGGAAGGAGUCAUUUGCCUGACGAAGAGAGGACCAGUUGGGGAGGGCAACGUGAAGAGCGCCUUCCUCUCCCUGCCUUGAACAUGGGUGUGAAGGAUGUGAUGUUUGCUGUUCAUUAACCCUCUUUAGACUGUAGGUGGCAAGUCUGAGGACCAAAAGCUAACACUCUGGAGAUAGAAAACUGGAAAACAGCAAAUGCCCAAGUCUCAUAACACUGAGCGAUACCACCCUGAAACUACCUGCUUCCAGGCUUCUCAUUUUGUGAGAUAUUAAAUAUCUUUACUGCUUAA